rnacentral:rRNA from 1 species
AACCUGGUUGAUCCUGCCAGUAGUCAUAUGCUUGUCUCAAAGAUUAAGCCAUGCAUGUCUAAGUGUAAAUAACUUUAUACUGUGAAACUGCGAAUGGCUUACUAAAUCAGUUAUCGUUUAUUUGAUGGUCUCUUACUACUUGGAUAACCGUAGUAAUUCUAGAGCUAAUACAUGCACAAAAUCCCGACUUCUGGAAGGGAUGUAUUUAUUAGAUACAGAACCAACCCACUCCGGUGGUUUUUGGUGAUUCAUAAUAACUUCGCGAAUCGCACUGCUUUACGCUGGCGAUGAUUCAUUCAAAU